UGGGGAAUAUUGCACAAUGGGCGGAAGCCUGAUGCAGCGACGCCGCGUGAGGGAUGACGGCCUUCGGGUUGUAAACCUCUUUCAGCAGGGAAGAAGCGAAAGUGACGGUACCUGCAGAAGAAGCGCCGGCUAACUACGUGCCAGCAGCCGCGGUAAUACGUAGGGCGCAAGCGUUGUCCGGAAUUAUUGGGCGUAAAGAGCUCGUAGGCGGCUUGUCGCGUCGGAUGUGAAAGCCCGGGGCUUAACCCCGGGUCUGCAUUCGAUACGGGCAGACUAGAGUGCGGUAGGGGAGACUGGAAUUCCUGGUGUAGCGGUGAAAUGCGCAGAUAUCAGGAGGAACACCGGUGGCGAAGGCGGGUCUCUGGGCCGUAACUGACGCUGAGGAGCGAAAGCGUGGGGAGCAAAC
rnacentral:rRNA from 1 species